rnacentral:rRNA from 1 species
AGCCUGAUGCAGCGACGCCGCGUGAGGGAUGACGGCCUUCGGGUUGUAAAAGACUUUCAGCAGGGAAGAAGCGAAAGUGACGGUACCUGCAGAAGAAGCGCCGGCUAACUACGUGCCAGCAGCCGCGGUAAUACGUAGGGCGCAAGCGUUGUCCGGAAUUAUUGGGCGUAAAGAGCUCGUAGGCGGCUUGUCGCGUCGGUUGUGAAAGCCCGGGGCUUAACCCCGGGUCUGCAGUCGAUACGGGCAGGCUAGAGUUCGGUAGGGGAGAUCGGAAUUCCUGGUGUAGCGGUGAAAUGCGCAGAUAUCAGGAGGAACACCGGUGGCGAAGGCGGAUCUCUGGGCCGAUACUGACGCUGAGGAGCGAAAGCGUGGGGAGCGAACAGGAUUAGAUACCCUGGUAGUCCACGCCGUAAACGGUGGGCACUAGGUGUGGGCAACAUUCCACGUUGUCCGUGCCGCAGCUAACGCAUUAAGUGCCCCGCCUGGGGAGUACGGCCGCAAGGCUAAAACUCAAAUGAAUU